UGGGGAAUUUUGCACAAUGGGGGAAACCCUGAUGCAGCGACGCCGCGUGAUUUAGAAGGCCUUCGGGUUGUAAAAAUCUUUUUUAUGGGAUGAAAAUGACAGUACCAUAAGAAUAAGGUCCGGCUAAAUACGUGCCAGCAGCCGCGGUAAUACGUAUGGACCGAGCGUUGUCCGGAAUCAUUGGGCGUAAAGGGUACGUAGGCGGCCCAGUAAGUUAGAAGUGAAAUAAUAUAGCUCAACUAUAUAAAGCUUUUAAAACUGCUAGGCUUGAGAGAUGGAAGGGAAAGUGGAAUUCCUAGUGUAGCGGUGAAAUGCGCAGAUAUUAGGAGGAAUACCGGUGGCGAAGGCGACUUUCUGGCCAUAAUCUGACGCUGAGGUACGAAAGCGUGGGUAGCAAACAGG
rnacentral:rRNA from 2 species